GACGAACGCUGGCGGCGUGCUUAACACAUGCAAGUCGAACGGUGAAGCGCCUUCCUUUUUGGUGGGUGUGGAUGAGUGGCGAACGGGUGAGUAACACGUGAGUAACCUGCCCCCUUCUUCUGGAUAACCGCAUGAAAGUGUGGCUAAUACGGGAUAUUCUGGGUCUGUCGCAUGAUGGGUCUGGGAAAGAUAUUGUUUCGGUGGGGGAUGGGCUCGCGGCCUAUCAGCUUGUUGGUGGGGUGAUGGCCUACCAAGGCGGUGACGGGUAGCCGGCCUGAGAGGGUGGACGGUCACACUGGGACUGAGACACGGCCCAGACUCCUACGGGAGGCAGCAGUGGGGAAUAUUGCACAAUGGGCGCAAGCCUGAUGCGGCGACGCCGCGUGAGGGAUGGAGGCCUUCGGGUUGUGAACCUCUUUCGCUAGUGAAGCAGGCCUGCCUCGUUUGUGGGUGGGUUGACGGUAGCUGGAUAAGAAGCGCCGGCUAACUACGUG
rnacentral:rRNA from 1 species